rnacentral:rRNA from 1 species
UACGAAGGGGGCUAGCGUUGCUCGGAAUCACUGGGCGUAAAGGGCGCGUAGGCGGCCGAUCAAGUCAGGGGUGAAAGCCUGUGGCUCAACCACAGAAUUGCCUUUGAUACUGUUCGGCUCGAGACCGGAAGAGGUGAGUGGAACUGCGAGUGUAGAGGUGAAAUUCGUAGAUAUUCGCAAGAACACCAGUGGCGAAGGCGGCUCACUGGCCCGGUACUGACGCUGAGGUGCGAAAGCGUGGGGAGCAAACAGG